UUGAAAGUACCAACUGGUACACUGAGAGAUGGACCCGCGUUGUAUUAGCUAGUUGGUAGUGUAAUGGACUACCAAGGCGAUGAUACAUAGCCGACCUGAGAGGGUGAUCGGCCACAUUGGGACUGAGACACGGCCCAAACUCCUACGGGAGGCAGCAGUAGGGAAUCUUCGGCAAUGGACGAAAGUCUGACCGAGCAACGCCGCGUGAGUGAAGAAGGUUUUCGGAUCGUAAAACUCUGUUGUUAGAGAAGAAUGUUGCAUAGAGUGGAAAAUUAUGCAAGUGACGGUAUCUAACCAGAAAGGGACGGCUAACUACGUGCCAGCAGCCGCGGUAAUACGUAGGUCCCGAGCGUUGUCCGGAUUUAUUGGGCGUAAAGCGAGCGCAGGUGGUUUAAUAAGUCUGAUGUAAAAGGCAGUGGCUCAACCAUUGUGUGCAUUGGAAACUGUUAGACUUGAGUGCAGUAGAGGAGAGUGGAAUUCCAUGUGUAGCGGUGAAAUGCGUAGAUAUAUGGAGGAACACCGGUGGCGAAAGCGGCUCUCUGGACUGUCACUGACACUGAGGCUCGAAAGCGUGGGUAGCAAACAGGAUUAGAUACCCUGGUAGUCCACGCCGUAAACGAUGAGUGCUAGUUGUUUGGGGCUAUCCAGCCCUAAGUGACGCAGCAAACGCAUUAAGCACUCCGCCUGGGGAGUACGACCGCAAGGUUGAAACUCAAAGGAAUUGACGGGGGCCCGCACAAGCGGUGGAGCAUGUGGUUUAAUUCGAAGCAACGCGAAGAACCUUACCAGGUCUUGACAUACUCGUGCUAUUCCUAGAGAUAGGAAGUUCCUUCGGGACACGGGAUACAGGUGGUGCAUGGUUGUCGUCAGCUCGUGUCGUGAGAUGUUGGGUUAAGUCCCGCAACGAGCGCAACCCCUAUUGUUAGUUGCCAUCAUUAAGUUGGGCACUCUAGCGAGACUGCCGGUAAUAAACCGGAGGAAGGUGGGGAUGACGUCAAAUCAUCAUGCCCCUUAUGACCUGGGCUACACACGUGCUACAAUGGUUGGUACAACGAGUCGCAAGGCAGUGAUGUCAA
rnacentral:rRNA from 1 species